rnacentral:rRNA from 1 species
GACGAACGCUGGCGGCGUGCUUAACACAUGCAAGUCGAACGGAAAGGCCCUGCUUUUGUGGGGUGCUCGAGUGGCAAACGGGUGAGUAACACGUGAGUAACCUGCCCUUGACUUUGGUAUAACUUCAGGAAACUGGGGCUAAUACCGGAUAGGAGCUCCUGCUGCAUGGUGGGGGUUGGAAAGUUUCGGCGGUUGGGGAUGGACUCGCGGCUUAUCAGCUUGUUGGUGGGGUAGUGGCUUACCAAGGCUUUGACGGGUAGCCGGCCUGAGAGGGUGACCGGCCACAUUGGGACUGAGAUACGGCCCAGACUCCUACGGGAGGCAGCAGUGGGGAAUAUUGCACAAUGGGCGGAAGCCUGAUGCAGCAACGCCGCGUGCGGGAUGACGGCCUUCGGGUUGUAAACCGCUUUCGCCUGUGACGAAGCGUGAGUGACGGUAAUGGGUAAAGAAGCACCGGCUAACUACGUG